CACAUGGGCCCGCGGGCCGGGCGGGCUCGGGGCGGCCUGGCUCCGGACGGGCAGCGAGGGGCCUGGCUCGGGGGCCGGCCCGCGCGCCCCCCGGCCCCCCCGAGCGGAUUUCCACGCCGAGAGGAUGUUGGCAGCCCCGGCGACCUGCCGAGACGCGGCGGGAUCCACCUUCCAGCCUGAUCUUUGGUCCAGAAAGGAAUUACAAAGAUGCCCCUCGUGACGGCUGUGCCUGUCGGUCGUGUGGGCCUUCAUUCGAGGAUUUUCUGAGCCUCAUGGAUUUACAGUGACGUCCAGCUGCCUGGGGAAUAAUGACGGUGGAAGCAUUCUCUGGAAUUACCUGCACCCAGCACCUGUCUGGAUGCUAAUGGCGGUUUUAAGGAUGGCCGUGGCCGAGAGCCGGGUGGAUCCCUGCAGCCUGGAUGCCCCUGGGGGACAGAGGACCACCGCUUCCUGUGACGGCCGAGAGCUCUGUCCUUAUCUCCACAUGAAUGUUCGGUUGGGUCUCUGCCAGCCCCACCGGGGCCUCCCCGUGACACAGAAGGCCUCCUCCUCGUGCACACAUGCUCCGCCUGUUCCGUCCGGUGUUCACCUGGGCUUUAGGUGACACUGGCCCGGCCGGCAGGAGAGAAGUCGCUGUGAUGGAGCCGCUUCUCAAGGGGAGCUGGUGUUCAGUGGCUCCCUCCGCGUGUCUGUCUGGGUGCUGGGCAUGGAGGGCGACAGAGGGAGAUAGCAAGGAGCGUCCCAGGAGCCACUGCUGUUCCCUGUGCAGAUGUCAUCAUGCCUGUGUCCUACCUCGCCUGAUUUCCUGGUUCGUGUGCCUGUCUCCGCCCACCAGACCACAAGGGCCUCGAAGGCCGAGGCUUCUUCCUCGUGAAGUGUGUUUUGAAGACCUAGCACCCUGCCUGGCACAGAGUGUCUCUGGCUGCAGAAAGGGCACUCAGGGAUGCAGACACCGAGGGUAAAUAGGGACAGAAGGCACGGCUCGGUGCUUAGAGUGAGAAACACGCUGCUGAAUGUUUGCCGACGCGCGUGCACCCAGGAGGCCUGGGUUUGCCUCUCUGAGCCGUCCCUGCUGUGUGGCCGGGGCCGAGGGGCUGCUGCGUGCCCUUCCCUUCUCCGCUAAGUGGAGGUGACGUGUGCUACCGUCUUUCGCCUGGGUCGUGUUGAGGAUCACACAGCAGAGGCUCGCGAUGACCCCCAGCACGGUGCCCGGCACACGGCAAAGGCUCAGCACAUGAGCUACCGCCUAUGACGUGGGACUUCCUUAGCCUUUGGAGGCACUCAGGAGUCUGAAAAGCUGCAGGAAGAGGCAGGGCGCAGAUCUUCACUCCCGUUCUGUGGCUGAGACAACUGAGGCUCCCACAGGCCACGCCAGCUUCUUGGGGCCACAUACCUGGACCCCCACACCCAGCGGGGAGACCCCCCACCCCCCAGGCUGUGGACAGCAGCUCCUGGAAGGCUGAUCGGAGGGUGGGUCACCUGACGGACUCUCCAGUAAUGAGUGUUUGUUUCUGGAGUCUCCUGGGCUGUUCCCCCCAGGCUGAUGGCUUUGAGAGUAGGGGCUGUGGACCUUGGGGCGCCAAGACACUGGGGCCCCUUGAGCAGUUGACCUUGGAGCACGCAUCCGGCGACUCCAGUCUUUGAACGAACUGCCUGAGAUUCAGCGCCUCCAGCUGCACCUUUUCCCCGCCACUGACUUGCUGUAAUCCUGUCAUACCUGGGAUUUUGGUGCCUUCAACCCAAAAAUAACUACACAUCCAUUCAGUACCCUAGAGGGACUCAAAGACUGUCCUUCCCUGAACUAAAGCCAGACCAUUUGGGGAUUUGGAGAAUAAGGAUUUGUCAACCCCGCAGCACUGGUCGUAGCAGGUGCCUGGGGGAAGAAAAUGCCCACCAGGGGAUGGACGUAAGCCGGCCUGCAGGCUUCUCUUCACCCUCCUGCCAAGAUGAAACCUUGAUUAAAACUAGAGAAUUGACCUGUUCCGGCCUCGACAGCGUUCAGCUUCAAGGACUCCUACGGCCAUUUUUCUGCUGCUGCAGAGCUGAGGCCCCCUGGCUUCCUGCCUGUGGGAAAUCAGAUGGACUAAGGAAGAGCUUCACACGAAUAAGAAUAAGAGGGAAAAAAAUAAUUUAAGUGUCACACUCUCUCUUGCCUCUUCCCUGCUGGACCGGGAGGGAACUGAGACCGUAACUGGCCUGUGGGGGAGGGGUAUGUGAAGGGUCCCAGGAGGGAGUGGGAGAUGAUGCUUCCUCUUGGUGGUGGAGUAUCUGCAGAAACUACUUGGAAUCCUUCUCCAGAGGAGAUUUGUCUCCCAGCCCCUGGGUCUAUGUCUGUGUGUCUAUGCCUCUGUGUGUGUUUGUGUGUGUACACAUCAAUAUGGCACCAUGCUGAUAUUUAUUAUACUUAUUAUAUGCUUUGGAUUAUGGUCCACUAUGACUUCA